AGAGUUUGAUUCUGGCUCAGAACGAACGCUGGCGGCAUGCCUAACACAUGCAAGUCGAACGAAGGCUUCGGCCUUAGUGGCGCACGGGUGCGUAACGCGUGGGAAUCUGCCCUUAGGUUCGGAAUAACAGCUGGAAACGGCUGCUAAUACCGGAUGAUAUCGCGAGAUCAAAGAUUUAUCGCCUGAGGAUGAGCCCGCGUUGGAUUAGGUAGUUGGUGGGGUAAAGGCCUACCAAGCCGACGAUCCAUAGCUGGUCUGAGAGGAUGAUCAGCCACACUGGGACUGAGACACGGCCCAGACUCCUACGGGAGGCAGCAGUGGGGAAUAUUGGACAAUGGGCGAAAGCCUGAUCCAGCAAUGCCGCGUGAGUGAUGAAGGCCUUAGGGUUGUAAAGCUCUUUUACCCGGGAUGAUAAUGACAGUACCGGGAGAAUAAGCUCCGGCUAACUCCGUGCCAGCAGCCGCGGUAAUAAGGGCG
rnacentral:rRNA from 1 species